AUUGAACGCUGGCGGCAUGCCUUACACAUGCAAGUCGAACGGCAGCACGGGAGCAAUCCUGGUGGCGAGUGGCGAACGGGUGAGUAAUAUAUCGGAACGUGCCCAGUAGUGGGGGAUAACUGCUCGAAAGAGCAGCUAAUACCGCAUACGACCUGAGGGUGAAAGGGGGGGAUCGCAAGACCUCUCGCUAUUGGAGCGGCCGAUAUCAGAUUAGCUAGUUGGUGGGGUAAAGGCCUACCAAGGCAACGAUCUGUAGUUGGUCUGAGAGGACGACUAGCCACACUAGGACUGAGACACGGCCCAGACUCCUACGGGAGGCAGCAGUGGGGAAUUUUGGACAAUGGGCGCAAGCCUGAUCCAGCAAUGCCGCGUGCAGGAAGAAGGCCUUCGGGUUGUAAACUGCUUUUGUCAGGGAAGAAAUCCUCUAGGUUAAUACCCUUGGGGGGAUGACGGUACCUGAAGAAUAAGCACCGGCUAACUACGUGCCAGCCGCCGCCGUAAGAC
rnacentral:rRNA from 1 species